rnacentral:tRNA from 1 species
GUUUUAAUAGUUUAAUAAAAACUUAGAUCUUGUAAAUCUAGAUUAACGUAAGUUUUAAAAAU